AACAAUCUAUCUGCUUUUGGUGCUUCUGGUCCAUCCUCUGCUGCUUCUAGAAUGAGGGGGAACCAAGAAGAGCCAAGGAGAAUGCCUGUGCAAUAUACGCCUUCAUCGUAUCAGGUUCAAGCUACUUCGCCACAACAAAUGACCUAUCCGAGGAUGGGUGGUGGUACACACGACAUGAUGCAGAACCUGCCUAGGAUUGCAACUGGAGAGGUACAUUCGAGUUUCCAAUCUCCUCACGGUUUGACAUCGCCUCCUAUGUAUACAUCAACAGCUGCAUAUAUGACAUCUCUGAGCCCGUUUUACAAUCAUAACUUUCAGUCCUCGGGUAUGUACCUCCCUCAGUAUGGUUAUAGCGGUUACCCUCCUGCCUCUGGUGUUGUCCCUCAGUAUAUGAGUGGAUACCCAUCUCAUGAAGCCACUGUUCCUAUGCCAUAUGAUAUCUCAUCGCCUUCUUCGGGCUACAACAACUCCUUCUCUCGUGAAUCCUUUUCACCUACUGCACAGAACACUCCUCUAGUGGAUCCUUUUCAGCUGCAAUAUUAUCAACAGGCUCAAGCAGAGGCAUAUGCUCCUUCGUUUGAUUCCUUUGGGAAGCAAGACCAACAAGCUACUGGCUUUAUGGCUAAUCAAGAACCUCACAGCAACCCUUUGAGUCCAAGUUUUGGGUUGCAAAGUCCACGGCACAUGGGAAACUACUUUGCAGUGCCACCGGGUGUGAGAGUCAUGCAACAGUAUCCAGGAUCACCUCUUGCUAGUCCAGUGAUGCCAUCCUCACCGGUUGGUGGGAUGAUGAGCCAGUUUGGAAGACGAAGUGACACAAGGUAUCAUCAUCAACAAGGACCUAGUAGAAACACAGGGAUCUACCCUGGUGGAUGGCAAGGGAACAGAGGAGGAGCUAGCAGCAGCAGCGUCGAUGAUUUUAAAAGACAUUCUUUUCUUGAUGAACUCAAGUCUCCAAAUGCUCGUAAAAUGGAGCUGUCUGAUAUCACAGGGCGUGUUAUUGAGUUCAGGUAUUGUUUAUAUUCUGAUAUCUAUCGUUUUCUUUAAUUCUGAGUGAAAGCAUCAAAAGAUAAUAUCAUUUUUUUUCUUGACUUCAGCGUUGAUCAGCAUGGCAGCCGGUUUAUCCAAAAAAAAAAUUGACUAGAAUAAUCACUAUAUACACAAAGAAUGAUAAAUAAUAUUAUAUUUACAUAAAAAACGUAUUUUGUAAAAAAAAUUUGGAAACUUAUUCAUGUAAAACCAAUGUCAUACACUCUUGUGGAGAGGGAAAGCUAGUUAUUGUAAAAUUACUUUUCGAAUUUAAUCUUUUAGCUUAUAAAAUAGGAUACAAAUGACAAAAGUCAGAAUCGUUUUCUCAAAAAAAUAUUAAUUAAUUAAAAUAGCAACUUUUAAAAAUUGCUUAGAUUUGCUUUUAAUAUUACAAACUAGAUUCCAAUUCACACUUCUAAAGUGUGGAAUUCUUUUUUUUUUGUAAAAUUUAGUUAGAGAGUUGAUAUACUUUUUGUUUUUUUUAUCUAAUUUAUAUUUUUAUUAUAACUAAAUUUUACAGUUUAAGUUGUAAAAAUUAUCUCAUCAAAUCAGUAACAAUAACAACAAUAUAUUAAUAUCUACAAACUUCUCCAGGAUAUUUUUGGUUUUUAUUUACAAAAUGUAAUUUAAUUUAAACUAUCUAUCUAUACUAUUAUUUAAGAAUUGAUUUCGCUUAUUUAUUACAUUUUUUAUGAUUUUAGGAUAAAUCACUAGUUCAAUUAAUUUAUAUUAUUAGAAAAUAUUUUAAUAUAUAUUUAUUUAUCAUAUAACUAAACUUAUUUAUGAUUAAGUUAUUCUUUAAUUUUUAGUUUCAAUUGUUGUAUAUUUUGAUUUACGUUACUAAUUUUAUUUGACAAUAUACACAAAAUGUUCUUUGAAUGAUUAUUUGAUCAGUGGACAGAAGCAUAUGGCCUUUAACAGAUCAUGGAUCCUACACAGUUGAAAGCGGGUACUGGUUGGCAGCCAACAAUUUCAACGCGUCUAUGUCUGCUUUAUCUCCAGGUGAAAAGACGAUCAUUGAUCCGAAGAAGAAGAUUUGAAAAUUCAAAACUCUGCCUAAGAUAAGAAUGUUUAUAUGGCGAGCUGUCUCUAGAGCGUUAGCAGUAGCAGAUAGACUUCAAACAAGAGGUGUGUGUAAGAUUAACUUUUAUGAUUUCAAUUAUGAAAUCUACCCAAGACCAAAAUAGAUUUAUCUUAAUUCAACCUUACUAGUUUUUCUAAAAGAAGAAGAGAGAAACACUAACCUUGAUCCAUGCUUGGAUACAAUUCCACCAAUUGAUCUUCUCGAUCCUUAACCUUUGACUUUCAAGAUUCCUUUGAUGGAGAGGAAUCAACCGUGUCUUUCUCUCUUUGACAUUGUCUUUUGUUACGUUAAUAUUAUUACCAAGGAGGGAACAUGUGGGUUAUAUAUUAUGUAAAUGGUUGUGAUGGUAAUGGUUGUGAUGGUUCACGACAAUUACCAUGUAACCACUUUUCUAUGUAGCCACAUUUUAUGUAACCCCCAUUUAUAUGUAUAUAGUAUCAUCUUUAUGUAGUUUAUAUAAACCAACUACAAAUACUAUAUACACAUAUAAAUAAACAAUAGAGAAAUACACUAAUACUAAAAUGGUAAGGAUAAAGGGUUAUCAAUACACCCGAUACUAAUAUUUUAAUUGAAACCAAUCUAUCACGGUAUCGUCUUUUAUAUUAGAAUCCAUAACAUUAAUAUGAACUUGAUCUUUAUACUGAACCAAUAGACACAUAUGUCAUAUAAGAAUAUAAAUAUUCUUACAGUGUGCUGAUAGACAUGGAAUGCAAGCAGUGCAACAAUGAAAUCGACUCUAUAAAUCAUGCUUUGUUUGAGUGUAUUCCAGCGCAAGACAUUUUACGGAUUGUUAACUUUCCUCCGUCUACAACGCCAGCUAGAAGUCUCGGUGAUAAUAUGAGUAUAGCUCUGGAGUUAAUGCAUGACUGUUCUGUUCCCGGAAACCUCUAGGAGAGCCAUUCCAUGGCUGCUAUGGACGAUAUGGAAGAACCGCAACUCGCUGGCACACAAACUGCUAUAGAUUCUGUAAUACUCAUAUUUUCCAAAAUAAAAUAACAAAUAAUAAUUCUGAAAUCUUUAUUUAUUAAUCUUCAUAAAUCAUCUCCAAACACCAUAAAUCUAAUAAAUAGUUAUAAAUCCAGAUAAUCGAAUAAAUUCCAAAAAUACGAUAAAAGCAUAAAAUCAAGUCAAUAAAAGAAAGAAAUAAAACGCCCAAAAACAUCAAUCACUCAUGUCAGUCAGUCUCACUUGAAAGAGAGAAAAAAAAAGAGGUGAGUAACAGGAAGGUCACUCAGUGAGGUAUAGGAUGUCAAACACGCAAACUACUGACUCGAGUAAAUAAAACUUCCACUAUAAAAGUGUAGCUCUAACAUGAACAACCAAGAUGCCUAAACCACCAUACACAACACACGAUGCGCUGAUAGAGUGCAUAACUAGAUCACGCACUCCGCAUUCUCUUUAUAUGGAUAUAUAAAUGUGCAUCGUCGCUAGUACAGUUUGUCUCUCUACCCCGUCCACCCCAGUAACGUCGAUGGUACAAAGGUUUUUGCACUACAUGCCCAACACAAGUAGCAUCGCUAGCCCAGAUAUCUCUGAACCCUCGCCCGCACAAUCACAGCAGCGUCGCUAGCCAAACAUCUUUGAGCCCCACCACGCACAUAGUCCCUACUCAUAAUUAUGUAUACAUAUAUACACAUAUAUACCAUAUUCUAACAACCACAAUCUAAUCAACGUUUGAAUCCUCUAGACCCCUAGUUCUGGUUUACAAUGAAUGAAAUAACUAUCAAUCACGACUCAUACAUGAUUCGAAAUCUGAAUUAACAUAGGAUGAAUUCUACACUAGUAAGAAAUUAUGGAAUAGAUCAUAACCUUAACCAAGAUCGGAGGUAUAUCAGGAAAUGCUAGGAUACCGAUGUGCCUUGUACAAACAAGACUUGGUCUAGGCCAUUACUGUCCAAGUCAAUUAACCCGAAAGAUCAUGUUUGUUCCUGCGCAUGACAUAUUAGGGUUUAUGUUCCAAGGAUUGCUUGCGCUACAAGAAAUAUAGGAUGUACCACUUAAUUAACAAAGCUCAAGCUCACGGUAAUAUAUACUUCAUCUCCGAUGACAUGACUUACUCCUCCUUGUGGCUCGUGAAGCCGUGAUCAACGAUGGUGGUGGUUGGUGUUAAACACCGCAGCUCCAUUUAUGGUCACGUCUUUUCUACGUCUAGUACGUAACUACCACAAGCACUGCCAACAAAAUUAUUAUCACAAAGCUUUGUCUCUGUUGAUUACAGCUAUGGUAUUUGGUGGUGAUAAUAACAUGACGUACCAAUAUUGAAGCACAUAAUCGGAUGUGGUGAUCGAGAGUGAGUGACGUAAGUCGUGAUGGAACGUGACGGCUCCGGUUUCACUUUCUCAUCUCGUCUUGAUCACAUUCCCACAACACCAAUCACAACAACGAUGGCUCUUCUCCAGUGAUGGAAGAGAACUUUGAUUUGAUGAGAAAAGGUGGAUGGAGAAGAAAAUGGUUCAGGGAUGGUUGAAUCUCCAUUGACGGCACAUAGCUUUAGGUUUUUUAGGAGGAGACUUAUAAUUAACAAUUAAAUAUAUAAUUAAGCAUAUGGUUUUACAAAACCACUAAGAAAUAACGAUUUAGGUUGUGGUCCAAUAAUUAAUCAAAACCGGGUCGUUACAGAAUCGUUGGUGGAUCAGGCGCUGGAGGAAGCUACAAUCUGGACUGGAGUUAACAAGAGUAAUGGACCAAGCUUGAUUCAUCCUUCUUCCAUAGAAAGUAUGUCAACGCUGGCAGGCUCCCAUCACAGCCAGGGUAAAAUGCAACGCAAAGUUCAACCAACACUCAGAAUGAGAGAUCAAAUGCGAGGGUAGGGAGCCGCGAGGACAACAAUCUAUCUGCUUUUGGUGCUUCUGGUCCAUCCUCUGCUGCUUCUAGAAUGAGGGGGAACCAAGAAGAGCCAAGGAGAAUGCCUGUGCAAUAUACGCCUUCAUCGUAUCAGGUUCAAGCUACUUCGCCACAACAAAUGACCUAUCCGAGGAUGGGUGGUGGUACACACGACAUGAUGCAGAACCUGCCUAGGAUUGCAACUGGAGAGGUACAUUCGAGUUUCCAAUCUCCUCACGGUUUGACAUCGCCUCCUAUGUAUACAUCAACAGCUGCAUAUAUGACAUCUCUGAGCCCGUUUUACAAUCAUAACUUUCAGUCCUCGGGUAUGUACCUCCCUCAGUAUGGUUAUAGCGGUUACCCUCCUGCCUCUGGUGUUGUCCCUCAGUAUAUGAGUGGAUACCCAUCUCAUGAAGCCACUGUUCCUAUGCCAUAUGAUAUCUCAUCGCCUUCUUCGGGCUACAACAACUCCUUCUCUCGUGAAUCCUUUUCACCUACUGCACAGAACACUCCUCUCGUGUUAUUCAACAAAAAUGAAAGUAAAUGACUUUUCCAAUCCAUUAUUUUGAAAUCUGUUGUUAUUUGUUUAUGAUUCUACAUACCUUUCUUUAUAAAAUCUAAUAAGCAAAGUAUCGCAAUAUUGUCAAAAUCUUUUUAAAAAUUGGAUGAGAUAUAAUUAAAUAAUAGGUCAGUUUCUU
rnacentral:lncRNA from 1 species